rnacentral:rRNA from 1 species
CACGUAGGGCGCGAGCGUUGUCCGGAAUUAUUGGGCGUAAAGAGCUCGUAGGCGGCCUGUUGCGUCCGCUGUGAAAUCCCGGGGCUCAACCCCGGGCCUGCAGUGGAUACGGGCUGGCUGGAGGCAGGCAGGGGAGAACGGAAUUCCUGGUGUAGCGGUGAAAUGCGCAGAUAUCAGGAGGAACACCGGUGGCGAAGGCGGUUCUCUGGGCCUGUUCUGACGCUGAGGAGCGAAAGCGUGGGGAGCGAACAGG